rnacentral:rRNA from 1 species
GACCGGCGCACGGGUGAGUAACGCGUAUGCAACUUGCCUAUCAGAGGGGGAUAACCCGGCGAAAGUCGGACUAAUACCGCAUGAAGCAGGGGCCCCGCAUGGGGAUAUUUGCUAAAGAUUCAUCGCUGAUAGAUAGGCAUGCGUUCCAUUAGGCAGUUGGCGGGGUAACGGCCCACCAAACCGACGAUGGAUAGGGGUUCUGAGAGGAAGGUCCCCCACAUUGGUACUGAGACACGGACCAAACUCCUACGGGAGGCAGCAGUGAGGAAUAUUGGUCAAUGGCCGAGAGGCUGAACCAGCCAAGUCGCGUGAGGGAUGAAGGUUCUAUGGAUCGUAAACCUCUUUUAUAAGGGAAUAAAGUGCGGGACGUGUCCCGUUUUGUAUGUACCUUAUGAAUAAGGAUCGGCUAACUCCGUGCCAGCAGCCGCGGUAAUACGGAGGAUCCGAGCGUUAUCCGGAUUUAUUGGGUUUAAGGGUGCGUAGGCGGCCUUUUAAGUCAGCGGUGAAAGUCUGUGGCUCACCAUAGAAUUGCCGUUGAACUGGGGG